CACAGCGAAAGCCACCCAGAUACGGCCAACGGGGUGGGGGAGAGGGAGCACGGCGUCGGUCUUUUAUCGCUGCCAGAACCCCUCCUCGACUCCUCGACUCCUCGACUCGGAGAUCAUUUUUCCGUUUUCUUUGCUUCUUCUGCUCUUCUUCUUCUGCUUCUUUUCUUGCUGGCUGGCUUUCGCUUCUCUGCUCUUGUCUCUCAGGCCAUCUGUCUCCCCAUCUGUUCGUAUCUCUCCGUGCAGCCCCCUUUUGGCUAAGCCCCCCAGCAGAUUUUAUCUCCACCCGCCGCCGUUCUCGGGGCUUGGGAUAAGAAUAGGCCUCCACCGCAGCGCACCGUUUACGCUGUUCCAGGAUUCGACUGCUCUGCUCUGAGUGCUCGACGUUGACGUUGACGUCGUCGCGGCCUUCCCACAGAAAUCACCACAGAAAUCACCAUAGGAAGGGAAUAAAUUCGAAUCUCCUCCACGCUCUCCAGCACCACGUCGAAAUCCGACUUUUUU
rnacentral:sRNA from 1 species